GAAUUGCAGAGGCGGGUUUAAGAAGAGAACAACAUUGAAGACAGCGUCCUCGGACAGAGAAGAAGUGAUAUCGAAGGAGUGGUUAUGGAUUUUACAAACUGUUCGCUCGGCUAACAGAGAAGACGCCGAGGAGAAUCUGACGAACGAAGACGGGCUCAAGACGCGUGGCAGGUUGUUGGACAGCAUCGGCCGCCGUAUUUCUCCAGAUGUUCCAGUUGCCUGAGACCCUCCCGGGGUUCUGGCAGUCCUGGUUGCUGACGAUCUUACAACCUUUAUGAGUUUUAUUUUUGUCCUGGAAUUAUUUUUGCCUGAGUUUUCUGUGAGAGAUCUCUGUCAUCAUAUUUACCGUUGCUGUGGCGUGGUCGAUUGGUUUCGGCUGCCUGACAUCAGUAUCUGGUACUGAACGACAUCCUCGAACCACACCAGGACGACUCAGGGGAACAAAUGACGUGGCUACCUCAGUGGGUCAAUAAAGCCUCUGGGAUACCGACUAGUGAUCGAUACGGGCAGCAGGGCCAUUAUCAGCUCCCUCCCCUUCCUCCUUCCUUCUCUCAUAUCCUGCAGCGUGGGGCAAGAGCAAACCCAGCCAGUCAGCCUGAGACACGCAUGAGAAAUCUCAAUAUGUCACAACAAAAACUCUUUUCAAAGUGCUCUUUAAUACAACAUUCAAUCACAUCCGAAUAUUACGCUACUGGUGCAACUCCUGCAGCAGUUCUCAUGAGAGUUGGUUUUAGUAAGGGAAGCAGUUGUAUUGAAUUGCAUCACUUUCAACGAGAUAUGUGUUAUCACCUUCGUUCCGUAACUUAGAAACAUUGGAGUGUCCACAGUGGCUGCAUUCGUCCCCACCUGCGAAACUGCCACAAGGAAAUAAAUCGGUUUUGCUUUAAAUCGUUUAUCUAAAUAAAUUAUAAACAGACAUAAUUACAACUUUGUUAAUUUCUUUGGAUUAGUUACUGAGAGCCAUGGAAUUUUGGGCUGACAUUAAAGAAGUCUGGCUGAAAAACAGAGAAAUUGUUAGCAUUCUAGGCAAGUCUGGCUGAAAAACAGUAAAAUUUAGUUGGCAUUCGAGACAGGUCUUGCUGAAAACCAUGGAAUUUUUGCUUAUGAGAUAAUUUAGAGCAUUUUAGGCACUUUGGAAGGGAAGCGAGGAGGGGAGGGCAUGUUACGAGCAUCACUUUCAAUGACUUCGUACUUGACAUUGCACUCUCAGAUUAUACUCAUCGUUAUUGUUACAAAUGUCAAAGAUUCCAGAAUUCUAGCUAUAACACGAUACCUGUUACAUUUCAUUUUAUUACAUUUAUCUCACUUACAACCAAACAUAUGUUUUGUAAAUACAGUCCCUGAGCGGAUUGAGUUUUUAUCCAAACUAAACUAAUAAAUGCAAGAGAAAGAUUUUUUUAAGUUUUCUUCUAGGAAUAACAAAAGUUCUUCUUUGCAUGCAACACUUUAUUUCAAACAGCAAACAUAGCUUGUAUUUUGUAGUUCAAACUUAGUGGUAACGUGAUAUGCUAGUUAUAAUCUUAACAUUUGGUAUCUGUGACUGUAAAAAAAAUCUUCUGCGCGAUAACUUAUGUACUAGUACAUUACAUUCGUCACCAGGCAAUUCAAAAUUUACAAUUCAAUAACGUCAGUGGAAUGUUCAACAGACAAUUUCGCUUUUCAAAUUUUUUUUACAUUAGCUAAGUCAUAAUAAAAACUUUCUGCUGGAUUAGAAAAAAUAUUUUAUUUUAAGCACGAGGCGUAACCGUAGAAAUAUCUUUCUUUAAAUUAGAAAACUAUUCUUUAAAAAAUAAGCAGGACUGUCUUUGCUAUUAUAUUAUGUUUGAAGUUCAGCGAUGCUUUUGUUCAAUAAAGAGAUUUGUCAGUGACC